rnacentral:rRNA from 1 species
AUGGAGGAAGAUGUAGGGGGGGACUGGGAUCAAUUUGGCCUUGAUCCAACCCUAGAGGAUGCGUUUGAAGGUAUGAACCUACACGGGGAAGAGGAAGAAGAUUUGGACCUGUCCGGGGAGGUAGAGGAUCUGAUUAAGGAGGUGCGGUGGCUGGCGCUUUUUAGGGUUCAUACCAUGAGAUCUUUUAGCCAUGCCACCCUGCUGAAUUCCAUGAGGAACGCUUGGGCCUGUGCACAAGGAGUGACUUUCAACAUUAAAGGUCCAAAUAUGUUUCUGGCUCAGUGCCAUUGCCUAGGAGAUUGGAAGAGGGUGAUGGAAGGGGGACCAUGGCAAUUUAGAAGAGAUCUUGUUGUGCUUGUUGAAUAUGAUGGAUUCGCAGACAUCGCUGAAUAUGCACUUGAUAUGUAUCCACUGUGGGCGAGAAUAAAGGGACUACCGGAUGGACUGACUAGGAAGAAGGAGCUUGCGGAGAAGGCGGCGAAUGUUAAUAAGCCCCUGGUGAGAUUUGUCCCGAUCACGUUGAAAGAAAGUAAGAAGUACCGCAUCAGUUAG